rnacentral:rRNA from 1 species
CUCUGUGACUCCUACGGGAGGCAGCAGUGGGGAAUAUUGCACAAUGGGCGCAAGCCUGAUGCAGCCAUGCCGCGUGUAUGAAGAAGGCCUUCGGGUUGUAAAGUACUUUCAGCAGUGAGGAAGGUGGUGCAGUUAAUAGCUGUAUCAUUUGACGUUAGCUGCAGAAGAAGCACCGGCUAACUCCGUGCCAGCAGCCGCGGUAAUACGGAGGGUGCGAGCGUUAAUCGGAAUUACUGGGCGUAAAGCGCAUGCAGGUGGUUUGUUAAGUCAGAUGUGAAAGCCCCGGGGCUCAACCUCGGAAUUGCAUUUGAAACUGGCAGACUAGAGUACUGUAGAGGGGGUAGAAUUUCAGGUGUAGCGGUGAAAUGCGUAGAGAUCUGAAGGAAUACCGGUGGCGAAGGCGGCCCCCUGGACAGAUACUGACACUCAGAUGCGAAAGCGUGGGGAGCAAACAGGAUUAGAUACCCUGGAG